rnacentral:lncRNA from 1 species
UGAACUUGUCUGUAACUCGCCACCACCGCGACGUCAUGAUUCACAGUUGGCCCGGUGUUGCAGUUUGGACUUGGAUGGCCUGGCUAGUGGCGUUUCGAAUUUGUAUGGCAUUAAAGCAUCAGUUUGCUGUGACUGGAACUUUUGAGCUUUCUGCAUUUACCUAGGCUUAUAUUUGAAAUGCUGACUCUUGGAUAGUUUGUAGCCUUACAUUACUUUGGCUAUGUCUGCUGCAUUCACGGCUUUCCCGUUUUCUAACCUCCCUUUUUAUGUUCUAUAUGUUUUGGAUAUAUAUGCUAUUUCGGGGUAUGUAGACUGGAUAAAGUUUAAUGGAGAAUUGGGUCAAUAACAGUCUCAACAAUGAAUAACUGGUUUAGAAUUUGAUUUUAGCAAAAAGGAUUAUGAAAGUGGAUUA